rnacentral:rRNA from 1 species
CCUGGUUGAUCUUGCCAGUAGUCAUAUACUUGUUUAAAAUAUUAAACCAUGCAUGUGUAAGUAUGAACUAAUUCAGACUGUGAAGCUGCGAAUGGCUCAUUAAAUUAGUUAUAGUUUAUUUGAUGGUAUCUACUACUAGGAUAACUGUAGUAAUUCUAGAGCUAAUACGUGCAACAAACCCUGACUUUUGAAAGGGAUGCAUUUAUUAGAUAAAAGGCCAAUGUAGGCUAUGCCCGUUGCUCUAAUGAUUCAUGAUAACUCAACAAAUUGCACGGCCUUUAUGUUAGCGUGCAUCAUUCAAAUUUUUGUCCUAUCUACUUUCGAUGGUAGGAUAAUGGCCUACUAUGGUGGUGAUGGGUGACGAAAAACUAGUUUUGAUUUCAAAAAUGAAGCAUGAGAAACGGCUACCACAUCCAAGGAAGGCAGCAGGUGCGUAAAUUACCUAAUCCUGACACGGGGAGGUAGUGACAAUAAAUAACAAUAUCGAGCCCUAUGAGUCUGGUAAUUGGAAUGAAUACAAUCUAAGUCCCUUAAUGAGGAUCUAUUGGAAGGCAACUUCGUUGCCAGCAGCUACGGUAAUUCUAGCUCCAAUAGCAUAUAUUUAAGUUGUUGCAGUUAAAAAGCUCAUAGUUGGAACUAGGGUUGGGUCGUCCAGUCUGUCUCACGGUGAGCAUCGAUUUACUCAUCCCUACUGUGGAUGAUGCAUUCUUAGCCUUAAUUGGUCAGGUCAUUCCUUUAGCACUAUUACUUUGAAGAAAUUAGAGUGCUCAAAGUAGGCCUAUGCUUGUAUACAUUAGUAUGGGAUAACAUUAUAAGAUUUCGAUCCUAUUGUGUUGGCCUUCAGGACUGGAGUAAUGAUUAAUAAGGACAGUUGGGGACAUUCGUAUUUCAUAGUUAGAGGUAAAAUUCUUAGAUUUAUGAAAGAUGAACAACUGCGAAAGCAUUUGCCAAUGAUGUUUUCAUUAAUCAAGAAUGAAAGUUAGGGGCUAGAAGAUGAUCAGAUAUCGUCUUAGUCUCAACCAUAAAUGAUGUCGACCAAGGAUCGACGAACGUUACUUUUAGGACUCUACCGGCACCUUAUGAGAAAUCAAAGUCUUUGGGUUCCAUUAGGAGUAUGGUUGCAAGGCUAAAACUUAAAGGAAUUGAUGAAAGGGCACCACCAAGAGUGGAGCCUGUAGCUUAAUUUGACUCAAUAUGGGAAAACUUACUAGGUCCAAACAUGAUAAGGAUUGAUAGACUGAAAGUUCUUUCUUGAUUCUAUGGGUGGUAGUGUGUGGUCAUUCUUAGUUAGUGGAGCAAUUUAUCUAGUUAAUUCCAUUAACGAACGAGACCUCAGCCUGCUAACUAGCUACGUGGAGGUGAUCCUUAUGGCUAGCUUUAGAGGGGCUAUGCGCUUAGGCUAAGGAAGUUUGAGGCAAUAAUAGGUCCGUGAUGCCCUUAGAUGUUCUAAGCUGCACGCGUGCUACACUGAUGUAUUCAAUGAGUCUAUAGUCUUGUCUAACAAGCUCGGGUAGUCUUUAAAAUUUCAUCAUGAUGGGGAUAGAUCAUUGUAAUUGUUGGUCUUCAAUAAGGAAUUCCUAUUAAGCGUGAGUCAUCAGCUCGCAUUGACUAUGUCCCUACCCUUUGUACACACCGCCCAUUGCUCCUACCGAUUGAAUGGUCCAGUAAAGUGUUCAGAUUGUGAUGAUGUGGACAGUUCACUUCCUGCGACAUUGCGAAAAGUCCACUGAACCUUAUAAUUUAAAGGAAGGAGAAGUCGUAACAAGGUUUCUUUAGUGAACCUAUAGAAG